GUGAGUUUGCGACCAGCCUGAGCUACAAGUGAGUUCCAGAUCCUGAGAGACUCAUUACUUCUUGGACCCCCUGCUCUGUGGGUUUCUGGAACCCAAAGCCACCAGACCCCACAUGGAACCAAGAGCCUCAAAUCCAGCCACCACACCCCAGGUGGAGAGAAAAUUCCAUGUUCUCGUGGGUGUCACCGGCAGUGUGGCUGCCCUGAAGUUACCCCUUCUGGUGUUGCAGCUUUUGGAUAUUCCUGGACUGGAAGUCACGGUGGUUACAACCGAGAGAGCCAAGCAUUUCUACAGCCCCCAGGACAUUCCUGUCACCCUCUACAGUGACACUGAUGAGUGGGAGAUGUGGAAGCACCGUUCUGACCCGGUUCUGCACAUCGACCUGCGGCGGUGGGCGGACCUCAUGGUGGUAGCACCUCUGGACGCCAACACUCUGGGAAAGGUGGCCAGUGGCAUCUGUGAUAACUUGCUUACCUGUGUCAUCCGGGCCUGGGACCCCAGCAAGCCCCUGCUCUUCUGUCCUGCCAUGAACACAGCCAUGUGGGAGCACCCGAUCACUGCCCAGCAGGUGGGCCAGCUGAAGAUCUUUGGCUACACUGAGGUUCCCUGCAUAGCCAAGAAGCUGGUGUGUGGAGACCAAGGUAUGGGGGCCAUGGCUGAGGUGGAGACCAUUGUGGAUAAAGUGAAAGAAGUCCUCUCCCAGCACCAUGGCAUCCAGCAGAGUUGAACCUGGCCUUCGUUCACUGGUGUUGCCCUGGCUCAGUGUGUUUUCAGGCUGGAAUUGUUUUUGGAAACACUAUGGCUGGAGAUCACUGGCAUGGUGGCCCUGGACAUUCCUUGGUGGGGAGCCCAGGUGCCACACAGAGGUGGCAGGACUCUCAGAUUUCCCAUACACCAUGCUAUGAGAUUGAGGGUGCUGGAAAAUAAAGAAAAGUGACCUGUUAUCCUUCCUUGUGGUCUCAGAGAUGGAGGGUAUUGCCAGGUAAAGCUGGAGAAAGUCUGGCCUGCUGACUGAUCAGUGUAUCAUAUGUCCCCAUAAUAUAUGGGCAUAUAAAGACAGAGAACUCUGAAGCUAGUCAGUCUGUGGUUCAAAUCUCAGUUCGGCCACUCACUAGCAGUGGAUCUUGGUUCAGGACUUCACCUCUCUUGACUCUUACCUGUAUUAACUUCCUGCCCUGAGGGAGCUGUUGAGAGGAUUAAGUGAGAUGUGUACAAAACAUCGUCCUUACUGAGGAUACAGUCUAGGACUCCCAGUGUGUGACUUCGUGCAUCUUGGGAAUUGACCAGACCCUACCCAUCCCAGGCUGAGGGUAUAAAGGGUACAUUCCUUUGAAAGACUUUGCUUUGAGAAGAGAGCCCAAGAUGCCCUGCAUACUCAGAGCUGCUGAGGCAAGUGUGUCCCAAGUUCAGUCAUCUGGCACUCAGAGCACUGCAGCCCUGAUCCAAGGGGCACAGCUAUGGCUCAGCUGGCAACAGACUUUGGUGAGGGUUUCAUAGAUGUGCAGUUGCAAAAGUUGUGGAGUCCCAGAGGCUUCCCCCCUAAUUUCAGAGGAAGGUCUGAGAGGCCAAGCAGUGUGGUAUAGCAGGGUCACAGUCCCUGCCAGGAGCCUGAGAGAGUGAUGCGUGAAGCCUAAGAGGGAAGUCACAGCUGCAGUAGAGAUUCAGGAAGUUGGAAUGGGAACAUCUGCUGAGGAAAACCGCAGGCAGCGAGCAAGAGCCAGCCCAAAAGAGGCCAUGAGGGCUGCAACUGGGAAGGCUAUGGGGUAGAGCUGUCCAAACCCUUUGGAACCAACACCUCACCAUAACCUGCCUCAAUGC